AACGAACGCUGGCGGCAUGCCUAACACAUGCAAGUCGAACGAAGCCUUCGGGCUUAGUGGCGCACGGGUGCGUAACGCGUGGGAAUCUGCCCUUUGGUUCGGAAUAACAGUGGGAAACGACUGCUAAUACCGGAUGAUGACGAAAGUCCAAAGAUUUAUCGCCAGAGGAUGAGCCCGCGUAGGAUUAGCUAGGUGGUGUGGUAAAGGAGCACCAAGGCGACGAUCCUUAGCUGGUCUGAGAGGAUGAUCAGCCACACUGGGACUGAGACACGGCCCAGACUCCUACGGGAGGCAGCAGUGGGGAAUAUUGGACAAUGGGCGAAAGCCUGAUCCAGCAAUGCCGCGUGAGUGAUGAAGGCCCUAGGGUUGUAAAGCUCUUUUACCCGGGAUGAUAAUGACAGUACCGGGAGAAUAAGCCCCGGCUAACUCCGUGCCAGCAGCCGCCGUAA
rnacentral:rRNA from 1 species